UUAAAAAUAAUGAAUAAAUAAAUAAAAUAAAUCUAAUGAUAUUUUGACCAAAAAUUGAAAAUAAAUAAAUAAAUAAAUGGAAUAUUAAAUAAAACUGUUUUGUGUUUUUUUUUAAAAAAAAGAAAGAAGAAAAAAAUAAAAAUAAAUAGGCUAAGGACCGAAUUGAAAAUGGACUGAAAUUCGGAGUCAAAAUCGUGAAUAAGUAGAAAAGGUGGCUCGGGGCUGAAAUGAAACGCUUGUUUGAAACAAGGGACUGAUUGCGCAAUAUUUCCCAUCCCCAAAACUCUGCGUUCAAUGUAGACUAAAAAGAAACAUCCAGAAAAUUCGUAGGGUCAAAAUGUAAAAAACAAAAGGGCCGAUUGCAUAUCAGCGCAAAAGGGGAAGGACCCCGCGUGCAAAUAACCCAAUCACCGCGAAAACAUGCGGAUCCUGUGGGCUGCCGGACCGGGUCGCUGGUCAGGGCCAAAACGACGUCGUUUUGGCACCUGACCUGCAGUUGCAAAACAGCGCCGUUUUGUAUUGCUAUAAAAGCCAGAUUUUUUUUAAAUCCUCAUUUUCAAAUCCUCUUCCUAAAAAAAUAGAGAGAAACCUCUCAAAAUGCUCCCCCCAUAUCCGGCGAUAGUCAGUACCGAUGAAAGGCCGCGCCGCCGCCUUGACCAACGGCCGACAGCGAAAUAAAUGGGUUUUUCAACCCUCACUUCGCAGUGUGUUCAAAGAUUGGCCUCUCUCAAACCGUAGGACUGAAAAAGGUCCUUACUACACAAUAGUUCGGCUCCGACGACGACAAAAAGAUCACCGGCACCGGGAUUACAAGGUGACCAGGUGACAGAGCAGUGUCAGACGUGUAAAGGAAGUGGCGUGCGGUAGAAGCAUGAGGCGAUUGGUGAGUUGCGGCGGUGGAGGCUGACCAGGGGGCAGGAGCGACGGCCAGCAACUAUGGUUUUGCUGAAAGAAAAAUUAGUUUUGGGCUAGGGUUUAGUUUAGUUUUGGGCUUGGGGUUAAUUUGGCCUGUUUUUAUUUGUUUUUGGCCUUUAGGCCCAGGUCAAAAUUGACCUGUUACAAUACGUAUAUAGAGUAUAUCAUUAACUUCGGAUUCCCCUUUUUACAUAAUUUUUAUAUAUAAAGGUUUUACUUCUUAAA